AGAGUUUGAUUCUGGCUCAGGAUGAACGCUGGCGGCGUGCUUAACACAUGCAAGUCGAACGGAGUAUAGACGCUGAAGAGAUUUCGGUCGAUUCUUGUUAUACUUAGUGGCGGACGGGUGAGUAACGCGUGGGUAACCUGCCGUAUGCAGGGGGGACAACAGUUGGAAACGACUGCUAAUACCGCAUAAGCGCACGAUACCGCAUGGUAAGGUGUGAAAAGAUUUAUCGGCAUACGAUGGACCCGCGUUUGAUUAGAUAGUUGGUGAGGUAACGGCUCACCAAGUCGACGAUCAAUAGCCGGCCUGAGAGGGCAACCGGCCACAUUGGGACUGAGACACGGCCCAAACUCCUACGGGAGGCAGCAGGUGGGGAAUAUUGCACAAUGGGGGAAACCCUGAUGCAGCGAACCGCCGCGUGAGUGAAGAAGUAUUUCGGUAUGUAAAGCUCUAUCAGCAGGGAAGAUAGUGACGGUACCUGACUAAGAAGCCCCGGCUAACUACGUGCCAGCAGCUGC
rnacentral:rRNA from 1 species